rnacentral:rRNA from 1 species
UACGUAGGGUCCGAGCGUUGUCCGGAAUUAUUGGGCGUAAAGGGCUCGUAGGCGGUCUGUCGCGUCGGGAGUGAAAACUUACAGCUUAACUGUGGGCGUGCGGUCGAUACGGGCAUCACUGGAGUUCGGCAGGGGAGACUGGAAUUCCUGGUGUAGCGGUGAAAUGCGCAGAUAUCAGGAGGAACACCGGUGGCGAAGGCGGCCUACUGGGCCGGACCUGACGCUGAGACGCGAAGGCGUGGGGAGCGAACGGG